rnacentral:rRNA from 1 species
GGCGAGGGUUGUCGCUGACCUUUCUAAAAGGUCGUGCACGCCCGAGCGCUUCUCAAUCCAUUUCACCCUUUGUGCAUCACCGCGUGGGGUCUUCUCCCUCUUGACUCGCUUCGAGAGGGGGAGGCUCGCGUUUUUCACACAUAAACAACACCCUUAUAGUUUAGAAUGUCAUUCAUUUGCGGUCACACGCAAUCAAUACAACUUUCAACAACGGAUCUCUUGGCUCUCGCAUCGAUGAAGAACGCAGCGAAAUGCGAUACGUAAUGUGAAUUGCAGAAUUCAGUGAAUCAUCGAAUCUUUGAACGCAUCUUGCGCCCCUUGGUAUUCCGAGGGGCACACCCGUUUGAGUGUCGUGAAAUUCUCAAACCUUCUUGGUUUCUUGAUCAAGAUGGCUUUGGACUUUGGAGGUGUUUUGCUGGCUUUUCGCAAAGUCAGCUCCUCUUAAAUACAUUAGUGGGGUCCCCUUUGCCGAUCCCCAGGCGUGAUAAGAUGUUUCUACGUCUUGGGAUUUGCUCUGUUCCUUGGGAACCCGCUUCUAACCGUCUCGUUGGAGACACCGUUCGAGUUUGCUCGACGCACGAACCUUGACCUCAAAUCGGGUGAGACUACCCGCUGAACUUAAGCAUAUCAU